GUAUCGGGCACUAACUGACACACACAUAUCGACACCUGUUCCAGGGUGCCAACGGCUUGGCCUGCGGUUUGGAAUCGGGGAUAUGUGGAGGACUAAC
rnacentral:sRNA from 1 species